UACAGUUAUGCUGAUUCCUGCUUCUAACCACAUCCCAGACCUGACUGACAGACUUCAGUUCUCUGGGGGUUCUGCUCUGAUGAUCUGAGGUAAAAUUUGACCAUAGUGAGAUAAGUGGAGAGAAGCAAAUUUUUAAAACAUCAUUUUCAUCUUCAAGAUUAAUCAUGUAAAGAUCUUUUUCAAUAGCUCCUGAGACUUUGCCUUUAGGAAAAAAAAAAUAUAUAAAAAGGCCACUGAACAUCUGGUGGCUUUCUCACCUCAGGGUUUAGAGCAAGUGUUCCCCUCUAAAAGUACAAGUUAAUUAGGAUAAGAUGGCAUUUUUAGGAUUUGGGAAUUCUGUUAAUCAAGUAAAAAUCGAGAUGUUAUUACUCCCUCAUGAAUUUUUCAUCUUUUCAAGAUUAUAGCUAUGCAGCUAGUUUUUCCAACUAUUCAGAACAGUUCUAAUAAAAGGGCUGAGGCUUCCAUUUUCCAAUUCCCUCCCAUAAUAACUGUUAAAUUUUGGGAGAUGAAAGAUAGAGAAUAGUUUUAACGUGCAGAGACAUACACUUUCUUAAAAAUCACCUUAAUUACAAAGACAACCUACCAGCUCAGAGGGAAUACACAAAGGACUGAAUUUCUUAGCAGUGAAAACCUACAAAAAACCCUCAAAACAACUAGAUUGGUAACAGUAAGGCAGACUGUGCUGGUUUUUUCUGGGGUAGAGUAACUUUCUUCACAGUGGCAGUGUGGAGCUGUGUUUUGGAUUUGUGCUGAACACAGGGUUGAUAAUAUAGAGAUGUUUUUGUUCUUGCUGAGCAGAGCUUACACAGAGCAGCCAAGGUCUCCUCUGCUUUUCACCCCUCACUCUGGCUGGGAAGUUGGAGGUGAACGGGAGGCUGGGAGGAGACACAGCCAGGACAGGUGACCCAAACUGACAAAUGGGAUAUUCCAAAUGAUGUGACAUCAUGCUCAGUAUGUAAAGUGGGAGGAAGAAGGUGGAAAGAGGGGAACAUUUGGAAUGGUGGCAUUUGUUGCCAGGUUCUAUUACAUGAGAUGGUCGCUGCUCUUCUGGAGAUGGCUGAACAGUGGUGAAUUAAUGUCUUCUUUUGUUUGGCUUCUCUUCACAGCUUUUGCUUUCCCUAUCAAACUGUCUUUAUCUUAACCCAUGAGUUUUCUAGUUUACUCUUCCAAUUCUUUCCUGAUCCUGCUGGGGAGGGAGGGAGUGGGUGGCUGUGUGGAGCUUGGCUGCCAGAGGGGGUGAAGCCACAGGAGCUCUGUUUGGUACCCAGUGUGGGGCUGAAGGGUUUGGGAUAACAGCAGGUUCAACUGGGAUGUACUAGAUUGAACUUGCAGCUCUUGGUGCUGUUCAGCCAGGGAUCAGCAAGCUCCUGUUCCUGCCAUGGGGCUUGGUUACCUGAUUGUGUAUUAGAAUCUACUGCUCAGUAGUGGCCACUUUGUGCUUUCCCUGCCUGCUGUAAUGCUGUACUGCUUAUCACCUCAGUGAAUGGUGCCUGGGAACGUUCUGAUAGCAGCCAUGGUGCAGGGCCUGGGCUGGCAGGUGGCCAGGGCACUGCUGCUGCCCUGCACAGGGUGGGUACAGCCAGCAGGGCAGACACUGAUGAGUAUAAAGGUGUGCUCAGAGCUGCUCUGGACUUAGUGCUGAAGGCAGAUGAUUGUUUAAACAGCUUGUAUUCCUCUCAUAUGAGUGCAAAUCACAGUGACAGAAUACUUUUGCUGCCAAUUGCGGUAAAAUUUUGUAACUAACUUCUUUGCUGCAGAAAUUAAAGGGUCCAAAUUUAGACAGGUCAAAAUUUGUUUUAAAACACAACUUUGGGCUGGAAUUGUUCAUCAGGUAUCAAAGCUUGUGGUUGUUUGCUCCUAGCUGUUUACUUGCUUUCACCUGGAGGAUUAUCCAGGAGGAAGAAGUGGGUGUAGCUGUCCCCAUGAAUAUCCUCUGAUUGCUCAGGGACAGACCUGGCAGAUAACCAGCAUAGUUCAGCUAUUUAUAUAUCCUGAAAAAUAUGAUGUAAUCAUUUAUUUCCAUUUAAUUAUAGAGAAAGCCUUCAUAUUUAACACAUGAAAAGAAUAAUUUUCUCUUAUUGUACCUAUCUGCAUUUACUGCAUUAUCUUGAUCACAAAGACAACAAUUUACAAAAUACAACCUUAAACAAUACAUGUAAGAUAAAUAAUCAUAGCUGUAACAAAAAAGUAUCUCCUAGAAGUAGCAAGACAUGUUCAUCAGUCAAAGGCUAUAUUUAAUUACUGAGAAGGAAAUUACAUAAAAGUUAGAGAUACCAAUUAAGACCAAGGACUGUUUGAGAUUCAGUAUAAGCCUUUCCAUCUUUACCUACUGUUCCUUUCAUUUGCAAGAAGCUGUGGACUCACUCUCAGAUUUCAACACUUGAUUAGAUGCUUUCAGUAUUUUCUGAUUUGUUUAUGUUUGCAAAAGUGUGACUGACAACAAAUCAUGCAGAACUAUUUCAUUGUUAUCAUGAAACUCUACAUAAUUUUAUGUUUCAGGAUAUAAAUUGAUGAUCAUUAAGUUGAGCUUUUCCUGCUGUGUGGUACAGAGUGGUAACAAUUGUGCUAUAAAAGAUGCAUUCAGUUCUACCCAUGACACAGCUUGCAGGAACCUUGCAAAUCCAGUAUAUUUUCCACAGCACAAAAAAAAAAGUGUGAGGAAGCAACAAAAAUCUACUCUAUUUUGCUCUCAGAACUUUGAUAAGUCUCAGAUGAAAAGAAAGCCACAGGCUGUUCUUCUCUUUGUUUCCUUUUUUAAAAAGAGAGGGAUAGGAAAUAUUGAUAGGCUACCUGAGUCUAGCAGAGAGUUUGUUUUUCCUUUGGAGUCCCUAGCUUGGUCAGAAUGAGGACUAGGGACAAUGCAGAGCAGUGCUCUGCUGGGUUCUAGCAAUUCCUGUGUCCCUGCAGUGUACAGCUGCCCCUCAGUCGCAGGAGUGCACCUUUUUGGGACUGACAGGAUUCACGAGGAUAACCCUGUGUAGUCAAAUCAUGGGGCCAUACAAUGGAGUUACUGUAGGCAAACAAAGAGCCAUAGUCAGGCAAAAACAGCGCAAUGGCAGUGCAACCAUGGAAGAGAGGAGAGUAAACAUAAGGGAUGGACUCAUAAUGGUGUCCACCUUGCCUGCAUUCAAAACAAACAUCACAAAAUAAUGAAUACUUGUUUUCCAUUGGUUUUAUUACAAUAGCAAAUAAAAUCUCAUCACAAAAGUUCUGGAUAAUAAUGGUGCCUUUGCAAAUACUCCCUGCAUGGAGCUUCCCUGAGUUUCAAAAAGGGUUGGAGCAGCCCCCAUUUCAGCAUGGCAGGCACCUGCUUGAUAAAUAAAUCAUUCUUUCACUAGCAGUGAGUUUGCUGCCUCUUCUGAGUAAGGGCUCGCAGGCAGCCAUGGUGCAGCCAGGGCUGAGCAUUCCCUGUGCAGAGCUAUCAGCAGAUGGCUCUGCUGGCCAGGCUAUGCUCAGCAGCAGCUGCAGCUCUGCCAGGAGUGGGCUCAGCUCACAGAUCCACUCCACUGCCAGACAGCCACAGAAAAAAUGAUGCUCAAGAUGCCUUGCUUAUUACUAAAUUGUGAUUUGAACAGACUUUUAAGUUCCAUUAUAAAACUUUUCUUCAUAGUAGUUACACAUGCAGCACAUAUACAAAGGCAGGAGGCACAGAUGGAACGGCCUAAAAAUGUAACAAUUAGGUAAGGGAGAGCACAUCCAGAAGGGUCAGGCAGCUAAAGUACACAUUUCCUUUGGAAGUCUGCAAUGCCAAGACAGGCAAAGACUGCCCCUAAUGUAGGCACUACAUAUGACAUUGUUACUAACAGAGUCACAAAAGGGACCUUUACCAUCAGUCAACCACAGUUAUAUAAAUUACAUGUUCACUGACUGUAGGCCUCUCCAGUUUAAUUCCCAGAGAGAGCCUAAACACAAAGGCCUGUCCAACUGCCCCAAGAGCAAGAAAUUUGGCUUUUUUUUUUUCAGCAGAAGAUUCCUAAUCUGUAAAAGAUUCCUCAUAAAUGCUCAUAACUCUCCAUUUCCUUUCACCUCAUGAUGGAAAUUUCAUUCUUCUGGGAAACAGGAUCCACUUCUUGAAGUCCAGUGACUCACUUGGUAAACUUGGAUGACAAGUGCCUUCCAGUACUGUCAGGGAAAUUAAGAUCUCAAGUAGCAGAGGACUGAGCCACCAAGAUGGGACCUCCCAGCAGGUCUGACCUUCCUACAGAGUGGGAGCAUCUAAGUUUGGUAGAAGCAUUGCUUUAUAGGCAGUAUGGUACCAGAGCUGGCCUUGGUGGGACCAAUUCAGGUAUCCCUGCACCUACAGCUCAGUCCUUCUGAUAGCUGGAAAAUUUCCAGCACCUUUAUUGCACCCUUUUACAAGGGAGUAAUGACAAUAAUCAAUCUGCAUCCAAACUCAGCAGGAGGCCAGACAACCCCGGAUGCAGAUUGAUUAUUGUCAUUACUCCCUGGUACAAGGAUGCAACAAAAAGGAUAAAACAGUAUUUAAAACUGAAUUGAAGACAAAGAGUGCAAUGAAAUCAUAUUAGUACACUUCCAGUAAAGAACCAGUCAGGUACUGAUUUCAAAAGGCAAAUUUCUGUUAUUUGUACCAUGCUCUGGUUCCUGCAGCUAUACUGCAACCUGAAGGUUGCAAGCCACAUCUCUGGGAUGUCUGAGGAAUCAAAGUUUAGGCAAAAUGCAAGCAGCAUGAUGGUGGAUGUGUGCCUGGAAAUAUUAGUCUACUUUCACUGAUAGAGACAUUUCAGUAACACAGGCGUAGAAGGCUCAGCUUGUGGUUUAGCCAAAAUGACAAUAUUGCUCCAUUUAAAAAGAAGGUUAAUGGCAUUCCCACACAGAACACAUGAAGUAUGAGUGCCCAGCAUGUGUUUUAAUAGCAAUCCAUCUACAUUAAGUACCAUUCCCAUUAAUACUGCUCCCCUUGUAAAGGAGUGCUGAAAUAAAUGAAAAUCCUUAGUCUGAGUUCAGUGAGCCCUAGACUGCAGUCUCAGAGCUAUCAUUCGUAUGGAGGCAACAUUUCAGCCCAGUAAUGAUUCCUCAUAAAUUUAGAUAUGGGAGGAACCUCAGCAAUACAAAGAAAGAAAAUUGAUCUGAGAUGUACAGAAGUGCCCCCCUGCACUUAAAUGCCAGGUCCAGAUUCCCUCCCCUAAGCAGCCAAAAUGUAUGCACUUCCUCAUUUGAUUAAAAUUGUCUUUCAAGCCUCCACAAGUUCUGAUGAGAAAUGGACUGUGUCACUCUACAAUUACAUGGUCCCUUCCACCCCUUCCAUAGAUUCCUUUUUUUUUUCUUUUCUGCAUUUUCUCUCUAUUGGGCAGUGAUGUAGGCUACAUGAAGUGGACUUCUUCAUCCAAGCCUUCUGUCCUCUCCAAUUUACCACAGGGUUAGUCAGACAUUCACAGUCCUGAACCAACACCUUGGAUGGCUUCAAAUCCUCAAGAAGUUUUGUGAAAUGGGGAAAAAUCUAGCAGCAAAAGAACUUUUGUGACAAAUUUUGUCUUUCAGACAAUGAUCACCACAUCAUCAUUCAUUUAGGUGUCAAAAUGUAGAACUGAUGUUCUUGUUCCCUAAAUAAGUAAGUAAAGAGCCCACCCAUAUGAAUGUACUGUUUGUACAGACAGCAACACCAAGAAGAUCAAUUAAUCUAGCUGCAAAAUAUGCUCCUUGCCAUGCUACUGCACUUGUGAAAAUACAGGAGUGUACUAAUCAGGGGGGUUAGAAAUCACCUUAACAGUUCCUGUGACACACUCUUAUUGGAUUUACAUUCACCAGCAAAUCCAAGAAAACAAUUUGAUAAUUUUAGCACAAAGCAGACAAAGAAGGAUUUGCUAAGCUGCUUAGAGCCUGGCCCUGAAAUGUUGGAAAGGUUCAGGUUAAUGUCCUUUCACAGGACAGGCACCAUGGGCAGGCUACAUCUGACAUGAACCAUGUUUUGAAUCUCUGAAGCCAUCUUAUGAUCAAGAAGGUAUCUCAUUCUACAGCAAAAUUUAGCAUGGGAAAUGUUUUAUCAAUCUGACAGAGGGAAGAAUCAAUAUUGUUUCAUUACAUGAUUAUUUUAAGAAGAUUCUCCUCACUGUUAAGACGCAGGAUGAAAAAUAACAUCAGUGCUUCUGACUUUUCCUUGGUGUCCAUGAGAAGCAGUGCCUGAGGCAUCACCAGCAGUGAAUCCUUCUCUAUGGAAUGGCACUUGGAGGCCUUAAACUUGCAACAAGCUCCCAGUGGAGUCCUGUGGAAGACUGUGCGGUCGCUCACACAUGAAAGGUUGUGCAACAGCACCUUGUGGUGAGACAGUGACUUGUUCUGUGUGUGCACCAUGCCCAGCACAACCA